rnacentral:lncRNA from 1 species
UAUGAAACUGGAUGAGUUUAUGUGUAACCUAAUUACUUACGCUGAAUUAUCACUGGCUUCCUCUCUUUAGGAGACCAGUUACUAUGCAGAAACUUAAUACGUUUAUAACUGAUGCUGUAUGAUGUUGGAGGAUUUGCUCUAUCUAUAAGGUAUAAAUAAAGAUUAUGACAUAUAUGUAUAAAUGAAUAUUGUACUUGAUAAGUUUGGUGUGAAUCAAACAAGGGUCAUACGUUUGGUGGUUUUAUUGAGAGUCUCUUGGAUAUUAGGAUUACUCUAUUAGUCUGUUUGAAUUUUUGGGAAAAGUCAUGGUUGUUAGAAGGGCAUAUCUUGGGUUGUAUCUGUUACAAAUGUGGUGUAGCGUUCGUUAAGAGCUCCAUGAGGAGAAAAAGAAUCAGAUCUCUUUGGAUCCACUGUGUAAGAAAAGAUUCUAGACGGC